GACGAACGCUGGCGGCGUGCUUAACACAUGCAAGUCGAACGGAAAGGCCUCUUUCGGGGGGUACUCGAGUGGCGAACGGGUGAGUAACACGUGAGUAACCUGCCCUUGACUUUGGGAUAACUUCAGGAAACUGGGGCUAAUACCGGAUAGGAGCUCCUGCUGCAUGGUGGGGGUUGGAAAGUUUCGGCGGUUGGGGAUGGACUCGCGGCUUAUCAGCUUGUUGGUGGGGUAGUGGCUUACCAAGGCUUUGACGGGUAGCCGGCCUGAGAGGGUGACCGGCCACAUUGGGACUGAGAUACGGCCCAGACUCCUACGGGAGGCAGCAGUGGGGAAUAUUGCACAAUGGGUGGAAGCCUGAUGCAGCAACGUCGUGUGCGGGAUGACGGCCUUCGGGUUGUAAACCGCUUUCGCUCAUGACGAAGCUUUGUGUGACGGUAGUGGGGAAAGAAGCACCGGCUAACUACGU
rnacentral:rRNA from 1 species